rnacentral:rRNA from 1 species
UACGUAGGGGGCAAGCGUUGUCCGGAUUUAUUGGGCGUAAAGAGCGUGUAGGCGGCCAGGUAGGUCUGCUGUGAAAACUCGAGGCUUAACCUCGAGCUGUCGGCGGAAACCAUCUGGCUAGAGUCCGGAAGAGGAGAAUGGAAUUCCCGGUGUAGCGGUGAAAUGCGCAGAUAUCGGGAAGAACACCCGUUGCGAAGGCGGUUCUCUGGGACGGUACUGACGCUGAGACGCGAAAGCGUGGGGAGCGAUCAGG